UACGGAGGAGGCAAGCGUUAUCCGGAAUUAUUGGGCGUAAAGCGUCCGCAGGUGGCACCUCAAGUCUGCUGUCAAAGACCGGGGCUUAACCCCAGAAAGGCAGUGGAAACUGAAGUGCUAGAGUGCAGUAGGGGUAGAGGGAAUUCCCGGUGUAGCGGUGAAAUGCGUAGAGAUCGGGAAGAACACCGGUGGCGAAAGCGCUCUGCUAGGCCGCAACUGACACUGAGGGACGAAAGCUAGGGGAGCGAAUGGG
rnacentral:rRNA from 1 species